AACGCACAUUGCGCCCUCUGGCAUUCCGGGGGGCACACCCGUUCGAGCGUCAUUAUCACCAAUCAAGCCUGGCUUGGUGUUGGGGAUCGCCCCCGGGGCGACCCCUAAAGUCCACCGGCUGGACCAGUAUGUCCCCCAGCGUUGUGAUCAAUAUUCGCUCAGGGACGGCCUGGCUCACGCCGUUAAACCCAUCUUUUAACAGGUUGACCUCGGAUCGGGUGGGGAUACCCGCUGAACUUAA
rnacentral:misc_RNA from 1 species